GGAUGGUGGCACGCACGCUGCCGGGCAAGCAGUACGAGGUCGGCAGAAGGAUCCGCGUGCUGGUGGUCCGGGCGCUGCGGCGUGCCGGAAUUGUGGCGUCCGACGGAAAUUCGCCGAUGGUUGCCGGCCUUCCGCAAUCGUCCGCGACGCCUGCCGCCGAGGAUGACGAGACGCAGCGCGAACCGGAGCAGAAACAAUGACGUCUUGGUUCAAGCGGAAGCUCGGCGGCCGCUUCCGCGUCUCGACCGUGGUGCUCAUCGUCGCGUUCGUCGCGUUGUUCUGGGUGCAGCAGACCUUCCAGCCGGAACCCGCCGCACCCGAACAGUCGGUUCCCGCGGUCGUCCCACCCGGCUUCGUGCCGGACCCGAACUACACCUGGGUUCCGCGCACGCAGGUGCGGCGGCCCAAGGAGCCGGAGACCACGACCACCACCACGCCUACGACGACGACCCCGACCGAUACGACGACGCCGGGCCCCGACGACACGACGAGUGAAACCUCGCCUGGUCCGACGACGACGGUGAUCGAUCCUGACGGCCCGGGCGGCUCCCUCGGCCCGUCGACGCUUAUGCAGACACCGACGGUGACGGCGCCGACGACGGCACCGCCGGUACCGGGAACUGUGCCCGCCACACCCGAUGUCCCGCGAUAGCUCGACGGGCGGCGCUGUGCCUCACCGCUACACUGGCGUGCCGUGAUGAUCACGCUCGACCAUGUCAGCAAGCUGUACAAGACUUCGGCGCGACCGGCGCUCGACAAUAUCUCGCUCAGAAUCGACAAGGGCGAGUUCGUCUUCCUCAUCGGUCCGUCCGGUUCGGGCAAGUCGACAUUCAUGCGACUGCUGCUUGCCGAGGAGUCGCCGACCGACGGUGAUGUGCGGGUGU
rnacentral:misc_RNA from 1 species